rnacentral:tRNA from 1 species
GGGCCCGUAGUUAAGUGGUAUAACUCCUGGCUGGCAGUCAGGUAUUGGGAGUUCGAUUCUCCCCGGGUCCA